rnacentral:rRNA from 1 species
UACAGAGGUCUCAAGCGUUGUUCGGAUUCAUUGGGCGUAAAGGGUGUGUAGGUGGCGCCGUAAGUCGGGUGUGAAAUUUCGGAGCUUAACUCCGAAACUGCACUUGAUACUGCCUUGCUCGAGUACUGGAGAGGAGAUUGGAAUUUACGGUGUAGCAGUGAAAUGCGUAGAUAUCGUAAGGAAGACCAGUGGCGAAGGCGAAUCUCUGGACAGUUACUGGCACUGAGGCACGAAGGCCAGGGGAGCAAACGGG